rnacentral:lncRNA from 1 species
UGUCAAUGCAGAUUUCGAGUCACAUUUCGAGAUUAAGAUGUGAUGUCGCAUUAGGGGUAGCAAGAGGUCUGCUCCUUGAAAGUUGUGUUUUCCAGCAAGGUUUUGCUGGCUGGGAAACCCAGGGGCCUCACCCUCAUUAACCUAACCCUAUGCCAGAAACUGGCUAUAAUCCACGGGUUGUACUCAUAACACUCCCCCCUCCCACUAAAGGUAUAAAACGCAAAGAGUUAAGUGUAAGAACUGACCUGCAAAGCUGUUGGGUUCACCAAGGAAAUCCAGGGGCUUCACCCUCGUUAACCUAAUCCUAUGCCAGAAACUGGCAAUAAUCCGCGGGUUGUACUCACAACACUCCCCUCUCCCACCAAAGGUGUAAAAUGCAAAGAGUUAAGUGUAAGAACUGACCUCCAAAGCUGUGGGGUUCACCAAGGACAUUCCCUCUGGCCCAUGUUUCUCUAUCCGUAAUUCGUAGAAAUCUUUUUUUUUUUUUGUAUUUCUUUUUUUGUAAUUCAUAUAAAUUUGUCGUAUUAGCUUCGCUGCUCACUGUCUAUUCUGUUGUAGAUAGUGAGUAGCCUAGCAGUGUGCGGUUGUAACAUUCAAUGAACAUGGAGGCCGCUUCUUUGCGUUUUCGAAUAGUCUUUGAAGGGGAUUUAGAUUAAAGUUUUGGACGACUAAUAGAUUUCUACUAAAAAAAAUUAGAUCAUUCGCUCUCAAUUUCUAUGCGUGAUAGUUGACUCGGGCUCCGCCCUCCCAACUAUCACGUGAGAAAUCUCGAGCUCGUAAUCUAAAAAAAUAGACUAAUCUUAAAUCAAAACAGUUCAAAAUGUUAAUUCGCCUGGUUUUGAAUUUGAACUAUCUGCAUGAUUUAAACUCAGUUGAUCUUGAGCAAGCGUUGGUGCUGAUCAGCCAAUUGAAAAGAUAACACUUUGUUCAAAUUAUGUUCACUUGUUACUUUCCACAGGUGUAAAACCCAAAGUUGUUCAACGUAACGACGAAAGAUGUUAAACGUAAUAAUCAUUCGCUUUGCCAGAAUACAGGUAUCAACAGGUGCAGCUUCAAACUUUGUGGGCUUUUGAAAACAUCUUGCACGCAAUAGAAAGUUCCUCUAAACGCGAUGGGCAAACUCGGAUGCCUUUGAAAUGACCAGUGUGGAGGAAGGCCAAAUGAAAGCAAAGCAAAAGCAAAGUUGAUGUGGAAAAACCUCCGCCUCCCCGUUUGCCACCAUUAACUAGCGCUUGUACAUUUACCCAGAGUUUUGAGUUCUCGUACGCAUGCGAGUUUGGUAUCAUAUUUUUGACUAAAAUUUUUUCUAAGUCUUUUGGCGGGAAACGGUUUUAUAUGUAAAGUUCUCUAUGAUCCCUUUCGUCGAGAUUCCUUGAAAAUGACCAGUUUUAAGAAGUGGCCAAAGAAAAAUGUGCAACUUUGAAAGGAAGUGAAAAUUGAUGUGAGUUCUCGUCCUUGUGGUACAACCUUGCACGUACGCAUGCGCGUUUGGUGUCAUAUUUUUGACUAAAAUUUUUUCUAAGUCUUUUGGCGGGAAACGGUUUUAUAUGUAAAGUUCUCUUAUGAUCCCUUUCGUCGAGAGACCAGUUUUAAGAAGUGGCCAAAGAAAAAUUUUCAACCUUGGAAGGAAGGCAAAAAUUGAUGUGGAACACCGCCACCUCCCCGCCACCACCACUAACUAGCAUUUCUUUUAUACUUAUAGCGAGAGUUUGGUGCUCCCAUCCUUGUGGUACAGUAGCUUCUAAUACGCAUGCGUACUAGGUAAGUGUCCCAGUUACAAGAAACCUGUUGUACUGUAUGUCGUGACUGUAAGUAACUAAUACCUCCGUGUCGGACAACCCGAAGUUUGAUCUUCGUUUAACCAUCGGGUUGCCCGGUACGGAAGUAUCACUUACUUACAGUCACUACGUACAGUACAACGGGUUUCUUGUAACUGGGACACUUACCUAGUACCCAGGCGAAUCAGAGGUAACUUUACCACAACGAUGGGAGCACCAAACUCUGGCCAUAAGCAUAAAACAAUUGCUAGUUAGUGGCGGUGGCGGUGUUCCACUUCAAUUCCAAGGUUGACAAUUUUCCUGUCUGGUACUCGUCAUUUGCUAGGCAUCUGAAAGAGUCUUGCAAGCAUGGUUUUCAGUAAACUGACACAAGUUUGUAACAUGAUGAAAUGAAUUUAUUUUGUAAUAGUACAACAGACAAAAAACAAUAAAGAUUAACAUACAGUGCAUAUCUUUCGCGUACAAUAAACAACAGUGUACUCGUUAUCAGCGUCCGUAACUCUUCGUCUUAUUACCUCCGCCAUAUUCUGAACAUAUAGUGAUCAUAAUAAAGCCAUAAUUUACGAACCUUUUGUUACUUUCCUCUAAUAGCUUCGACUUUCUUGAGUUACCACGAUAUUAACAAUAUGUGGAACUAGAUUAUCAACUAAUGACCCGCGAUAGAAUUAUAUUACAAAACCUUUGACAAAAAUAACACAAUUACAUACCGCCAUUAUUUCCUUCGACAACUACAAAAUUACGAGAAAUUAAAAGACUUUCAGAGAAUUUAAAAGUCCUUUCAACAUCACUGCCACUAAAUAAAGUUAUAAACUCCUAUUCGACGAUUUACUCAAAAAAUACGUAAGAAAGAUCUAAGGAUAUUAACCUAGCAGCGCUGUAUAUAAACAACAGCAACAUGUAAAUUAUAAUGAUUACAGAAUGGCAUUCGAUAAAAGUACCAUCUGCAUUGUUACUAGAAUAUUAAACAUUUUGAAUGACUAUUAAGUUCGCGGGUUUUCCAGAUCGUAAACAUUUACGUUUGUUGAGAAAAAGUUUCGUCGUUUUCUUACCGCGCCUUAGAAGCCAAAUUAAUUUUAUCGGCAGAGAAGAAAUUUUUUUCCCUACUCGAUUGGGAAUAGUAUGAUAAAGAAAAUUGCAAAUUGUAUUCUUUUUCUUUCACACAGAGCCAGUGGAACUUGCACCGCGGGAAAAAUAUAUUCGACACUAAUUUUCUCCUGCGAGUUUUAACCAGGCUAAAAUGAAACCCUGUUUUUUUAGGUAGCCAAUGUAAAAAGAAACUUCCCUCAUGUAAACAGACGAUUUUGUCUUCCUUAGCUUACAUCAUUUCUAAUUCAUGUUGCUAG